GACGAACGCUGGCGGCGUGCCUAAUACAUGCAAGUAGAACGCACAGUUUAUACCGUAGCUUGCUACACCAUAGACUGUGAGUUGCGAACGGGUGAGUAACGCGUAGGUAACCUGCCUGGUAGCGGGGGAUAACUAUUGGAAACGAUAGCUAAUACCGCAUAAUAUUAAUUAUUGCAUGAUAAUUAAUUGAAAGGUGCAAUUGCACCACUACCAGAUGGACCUGCGUUGUAUUAGCUAGUAGGUGAGGUAACGGCUCACCUAGGCGACGAUACAUAGCCGACAUGAGAGGGUGAGCGGCCACACUGGGACUGAGACACGGCCCAGACUCAUACGGGAGGCAGCAGUAGGGAAUCUUCGGCAAUGGACGAAAGUCUGACCGAGCAACGCCGCGUGAGUGAAGAAGGUUGUCGGAUCGUAAAGCUCUGUUGUAAGAGAAGAACGGGUGUGAGAGUGGAAAGUUCACACUGUGACGGUAUCUUACCAGAAAGGGACGGCUAACUACGUG
rnacentral:rRNA from 1 species